rnacentral:lncRNA from 1 species
ACUAGGCGCGCUGCUCUGGUAGCACCAGGUGUGUACCCGGCCCGGCGAGGAGAGACCCUUCCGUCCGAGGGCCUACACUUUCCCCUCUCCCACUCUCGGACCUCGGGAGGUGCUUCUGCCAAGUCCUGAGGCGGGGAUUUUGGCGCUCCUGCUGUUGUUAAGUUACCGUAGGGUCUCUUGGCGCGGAGGGAACACGCGCUGCGUUGCCUAGGUGUCUCAUUGGACUUGGAGAAGAACACCUGAGGCACCUCUACGAGCCAGAGAGGUGACGGCGCUGGAGCCAGUGAGGCUGCUGUCCCUGCCCAAUGGGAGCGAGGAGUCCCCACCCCUGGCUGCUUUCAGCUGUUGCCCGCCCGCCGCUCUCGGCGGAGACUUGGAGAUUUCCACUGGGAUACCUCGGCAGCUGCCGCCAUUCGGGAGGGGAGGGGAGGGGACCGAGUCGACGAGGAAUGGGAAAGAUUCCUUGCUUUGCAGCUGCCGCGCCACGAAACCUCUCCCACAUUCAUUCUAGGCAGAGGAUUCCUGAGACAGCUGCUAUAAACAGCGUGGAGACAGGGUUCCUUGUGCCUGUAGACCUCCGAAGGGUUUUUUCCUCUCGUGAUUUUCCAAUGUGAAGAUUAGGCUCGCGUCAUUCUCAGAGUAGAUCAAAAGAUAAAUUAUAUUAGGUAGUACAGAUAGGUCCUCAUACUCAGUGUCCCUUCUUUCCACCCGCUAUUAACAGUAAACCAUUCUUCCUAGUGAGUGAAAAAUAAAUUUAGAGGAAGGUGGUUUUUCACCCACGUGUAUCCUUUGAGGUCAAAGGGCCUUUUUAAAAAUACGCCUAGCUCCUAAAAUGAAAGUGAAGCAAAAAGUGGGAUUAAACAAAGGAAGAAUUCUAGAGAACUUAGGAAAAAAUUAUAGUGGUUUGAGAAAUAGUUUCCUGAAGAAAAAGUUAUUUGAGAUGGCCUUGAGAAGUGGACAGAAGCCGGGCGCGGUGGCUCACGCCUGUAAUCCCAGCACUUUGGGAGGCCCAAGCAGAUGGAUUGCCUGAGGUCAGGAGUUCAAGACCAGCCUGACCAAUAUGGUGAAACCCCCGUCUCUACUAAAAAUACAAAAAUUAGCCAGGCAUGGUGGUAGGCGCCUGUAAUCCCAGCUACUCGGGAGGCUGAGGCAGGAGAAUUGCCACUGCACUCCAGCCUGGGUGA